GGUCCGUAUUUCCCCAACUCUUUAUUUCAUAUCCCUUAUAUGCAAGGUGAAGCUAACGAACAGUGAGCAAUACACAUAUAUGACAUAUAUUUGGGCAAACACGGACCCCAGGUGGAAUCAAGUGAUUAGGAGGAGUAAGCAUCCCUUAUCAACCAGUCACCCUCGCCGUGAUCCCUAUAUCCUGAUCGGGUAAACGGAGUUAUCCACACUCAUAAUCAGUGUGCGAAGAACUACUGAACAAUCGGUAUGGAGCGCAUCAGACAGCAUUUGACCCAAUGCGAGGUUGAAUUGACGAACUAAAUCGUUAUAAUGACCAUAGAAUUUGCGAAAUGCUGACUUCAAUCGAGAUUGUUGAGCCCCCUGUACCAUCAACUUGUUUGUCAGUAGCUUACCUCGAUUUAAAAACUGACUAUACGCAGAGGAAGCUCUUGCAUAUCGACUCAGUUGAGAUAUCCAAACAACAUAUGUAUGUGAUGAUAGAAUAUUGCUACAUAAAUGUGAGAAAAUGACGAUGGGGAAGCUGAAAUCAUCCCGUUUGUCAUACAGCUGAGUUGUUAGUUUGCCGUCAAUGUCUACUUUCAAUAAAAUAUAUAAGUAUGAAGGAACUAUCCGAUUAAUCACUUUUCUUUAUCUUCCCUUUUCAUAUCAUAAUGGUAGCACAAACAAUUAUAUAUGUGGCAUGAAUUGUUGCUGAUAAUCAAUGCAAUGCUGUUUACAAGGAGGCAAAGUAGCACAGAAAUAAAAAGAAAUGAAACAUACCUAUGUGAUGCAGUCCCUGAAAGCUUAAUGUGAUGCUGGACAGGACUCUGAAUCAGGACGACAUGAGGGGUCAAGGUCAAGGUAUCCGAGACAACACGCUGACCCCAAACAGACCCAAACAUACCCAAACAGUCCCGCAGUGCUCCCCCAAUCAAGGACAAAACAAGUGGUUUUCCUUCACUCCAAGCUCACAUGACCUACCUGUACCUAGCACAUACCAUUCAGAUUCUACCUCAGAAGAACUCAGCCAGUGUACCGUCAUUUAUUUCCCAGCAUUCCUUCCUGUCGGGAUCUUUACCGUGUGAUGUGCACCUACCCAAUCUUUGGUCCUUACAGCAGAGUUAUGAUGGACCAAUCACACGGAGCGAUGACUCAGCACUCCUAUUACACAGACUAAAACUUGAUUGUGUGAUUUCAAGCCAUGUAUUAUCUUGUACUGAUGCACAGGGGGAUGUCAGAUUACGGGAUCUGCUCAGUGACACGCUAGGGGUGAAGGAGAUGCGGCGGACGUCCUUGAUAUUACUACACGACAAAGGCCCCACAUCGCUAGAUAGUGGCCUGACCUUGAAUCCCAUGAAAUAUACAGUUUCAAGGUCAAAUGGUGAAUGUUUAUAAUGUUAGUGAUAAUGGGAGUGAUUUUUUAAUUGUUUUAUGUGAUAAACGGUCAUAUAGACUGAAGAUACUGUGAAACUGGGUGUGAUAAAAGGCUGUAUAGACUUGGAAUCCUGUGAAAUGCAUUGUGUUAAGACUGCACAUACUUCAAAUACUGUGAAAUUGAGUAUGUUAGUGAGAUUUAUAGACUUAAGAUCAUUUGCUAUUUAGUGUGAUAAAAGCUGUACAACCAUGAUAUCCCGUGAAAUUGAGUGUGAUGAAAAUUGUAUAGAGUUGAGAUCCUGUGAAAUUGAGUGUGAUAAGAGUUGUACAAAUUUGUGAUCCAGUGAAAUUGAGUGUGAAGUAAACUGUACACAUGUACAUACUUUUGAUGCUGUGGAAUUGAGUGUGAUAAAAGCUGUAUAUUCCUGAGAUCUUGUGAAAGUGAGUUUGAAAUUUGUAUUGGACAUAAAGCUGUGCUAUCUGAGUAGGGCUGUGUCAGAGAGUGUUUAGAUGUGAUCUUCAUUAUCCGACCAUGACAUGUAAAUGAGCUUACACCUGGCCAUGAUUUCUCGAAAAGAAUUGAAGUCGAAACUUGAACUAAAGUCUGAGAGUUUACUCAAACAUUGACUGCUUAAAUAAAAAAAACCCUCAAACUUAAGUUUGAGAUUUUUUCGAGAAAUCCAAGCCAGAUUUUGGACUCAAUUUAACGCGGGAAACAAAAACGUGUAAGAGUGAGAACGAGAUAGAAAGUAGGCUCGUUCAAUAUUUUAUAUUCCUGAAACCAAGUCUUUAGGAAUGUUUGCAACAUCACAUUUGGAUAUAUGUAAUUUCCAUAUGAAAAUAUGGUGUACAUGUAUUUCUUAGAAUUUUUUUGUAUGUUUUCGUGACUUUUGCAGCACGAUGCAAAAUUCUAAGUUGAAGUUAUUUCAGAGACAAUCUCAACAAAUGACCAACAAACAAAAGAAUAUAUUUACUCUUGAAAUUUGUUAAUUUGUGAAUGGGAUUUCAUGCGAAGUCUUUGUUUAUGAUUGAAAUGGAUUAAGAGUCCUCGAUGAAGCAUAUUUAUUUUGAACAUUGUCAACCUUUCUGUCCCCAGUGACAAGAGACGGAGUUUCAAUGACAAGUGGUUCUGAUAUCUCAUUAACUAAAGCAUUCUUUCAUUUUUGUUAACCUCAAAUUCAAGAAAUAGUUGCCACUGACCUACCUCCUCGUGAAAUAGGACAUUUACUCAGAGGUGGUGCUUAGAGGUUAAGACUAAACAUCGAUGUGUUAUCAUAAUAAGCCGUCUGUGUAAUAAUUGGCUCCACACUUACUAUCUUUAAUCUCAAGUUAAUGAAAUUACUGCUUUUGAUUUGCCUUCUUGUGGAGUAUGAGGAGUGUUUAGAUGAUGUUGCCUCAAGUUUUAGUACACGAGUUUACAGAGAAACAGUUUGUUUUACUUUAUUGAUAAUUCACUUACUAUAAUAGACUACAUACUGCAAUUUAACAAUUAACACAUCACAAUGAUAUAAUUCUACUACACUGGAGGUUGAAGAGAAACACAUUGUUUUUUGUGCAACACAAAUAUAUCAAUUAUGAUUGCUAACUUAUCAAGAUAAUAAUUUCAGAAACAUUUUAUAAAUGGUUGACAUAUCAGUAACUUUGUGUCUUAUAAACCAGAAUGGUGCAAUCAUCUAGUGAUCAGAUAAUGUUAGUUUUCUCUCAAAUUUCCCAAAGGCAUGGGUUCAGUGAUGUGACUGAUAUUGCCAGGUGAUCUAUAUUUUAUGAUGACGUUUUGCUGACCCUAAUGGUGUUUUUAUGGAAUUAUAUUGAUUCCAAUACCAAUUCUGUGAUUUUUUUUUUUUUACAUAAACAGGUGCGUGUUUCAUGGAUUGUCUGUUUUCCUAUCCAUCCUUCAGGUUUUGAAAUCCAGACCCCUUGGGAUGUUCCUUAUGAGAAUCGUGUCUAUGGAUACAAAAUUGUAAUGGUAUCAUCAGUGGAUGCAGGAAUAUUUUGUACGUCACAAACAUGUUAUCGCACCCAUCAAGUAUUUAUGUGUAUUGUAUGGAUGUUGACUUAUAAAAAACUCAGGAAUGAUAUUCAAAUCCCUGAAGAAUAUCGGAUGUGAAAGAAUACUGUCGUUGUGUGUGUGUGUGUUGUUUUCUUGUAUUUAAAUGACAUGUAUUAUUUUAUUUUGUUGAUGAUAUGAACGUGGAUCAGUGAUGUAUAAUGAU